CCGCUGAAGACCGGGCCCCGUCUGGAGGUAGAGCAGAAACAGCAGUCAGGGCUACAUCUUUCACUUCGGUAGUCACCAUCGCCUAAUACAUGAAAGGCAGGAGAUUCCUGUGGUGGCUGUCUGCCCGACACUCCCGAGAGAAGGAGGGAAAGAGCUUUAACUACUCAGCACAUUGAAGAUUGAAAGCUGGAGGGGGCCCGGAGGAGAAGCGGACUAUUAACCUUACAAGCAUAAAGUACUCAACUAGCAACUUGCAACUGAAAAAAAAAUCACAAUCCUUUACAAAUUCAGAGUGACUUCAUCUUUUCAACAUCUCUCUAAGGUAGAUCUCAAGUAUUACUCUCCUCAUCUUGCAAAUGGAAAAAUGAAUCAUGGAGAGAUUGGAUGACUUGCUAGUGCUCACCGUUGAGAGCGACGAGCCGAGCUAGGAGAAGAUCGGGUUUCUUCAGGAUCAUGGAGAUUCUGGCACUGAACCUGGAACCUUCGGAUUUCGCCUAUUUUUACUGUAAAGCCGUAGUUGAUAAAUUUUCACAAGUCUACUAGUCAAGUCUACUUGUAAUCUAGUCUACCUGAGACCCUGGGGUUAGCAGACCAAGGCCUCAAGCUUUGUAAAGGGACAGUGGGUCUCUUGCGCAGCUACUUCCUGGGGAAAAUUCUUGUGCAGUAUUGCUGAUCAUUGAGGUACGGCCAGAACACUCCUCCAGAGGCAGCGACAUUUCAGUAAGAAUUGAUGUAAUCUGUUGCCUCAAGAAUGCUCAUCAAGUGAGUUGGAGGGUCUUUGUAAAGAAAGAAUCAUACUUAUCAAGGAUUUUACCAUCCGAUUUGA